CAACAGGAGGAAAUAUAAGGGGAGCAGUAAAACAGGGCUGCAUCCAAACCGAGGCCCCACAGGCCCAGUGGUAGCACAGUCUGGAAGGGCAGACACUGAGCAAUAUGUCUGCACUCAGAGUUCGAGAGUCCUGAGCAAAGUUCCAGUCCAGUGGGGCACCAGAAUGGAGGUUAGGGUCGGGAGCUAUGGCCCCAUCACUUUUUCCUGGCCGUAAAGAUGUGCAUCUGAAAUGGAGCUCCUUGAUCUGCAGAGGGUCCCAUUAAUACUGUCUGAA